rnacentral:rRNA from 1 species
GACGAACGCUGGCGGCGUGCUUAACACAUGCAAGUCGAACGGUGAAGCGCCUUCCUUUUUGGUGGGUGUGGAUGAGUGGCGAACGGGUGAGUAACACGUGAGUAACCUGCCCCCUUCUUCUGGAUAACCGCAUGAAAGUGUGGCUAAUACGGGAUAUUCUGGGUCUGUCGCAUGAUGGGUCUGGGAAAGAUAUUGUUUCGGUGGGGGAUGGGCUCGCGGCCUAUCAGCUUGUUGGUGGGGUGAUGGCCUACCAAGGCGGUGACGGGUAGCCGGCCUGAGAGGGUGGACGGUCACACUGGGACUGAGACACGGCCCAGACUCCUACGGGAGGCAGCAGUGGGGAAUAUGGCACAAUGGGCGCAAGCCUGAUGCAGCGACGCCGCGUGAGGGAUGGAGGCCUUCGGGUUGUGAACCUCUUUCGCCAGUGAAGCAGGCCUGCCUCGUUUGUGGGUGGGUUGACGGUAGCUGGAUAAGAAACGCCGGCUAACUACGU